rnacentral:rRNA from 1 species
AUUGAACGCUGGCGGCAUGCCUUACACAUGCAAGUCGAACGGUAACAGGUCUUCGGAUGCUGACGAGUGGCGAACGGGUGAGUAAUACAUCGGAACGUGCCUAGUAGUGGGGGAUAACUACUCGAAAGAGUGGCUAAUACCGCAUGAGAUCUACGGAUGAAAGCAGGGGAUCGCAAGACCUUGUGCUACUAGAGCGGCCGAUGGCAGAUUAGGUAGUUGGUGGGAUAAAAGCUUACCAAGCCGACGAUCUGUAGCUGGUCUGAGAGGACGAUCAGACACACUGGGACUGAGAAAAGGCCCAGACUCAUACGGGAGGCAGCAGUGGGGAAUUUUGGACAAUGGGCGCAAGCCUGAUCCAGCAAUGCCGCGUGCAGGAUGAAGGCCUUCGGGUUGUAAACUGCUUUUGUACGGAACGAAAAGCCCCGGGUUAAUACCCUGGGGUCAUGACGGUACCGUAAGAAUAAGCACCGGCUAACUACGUGCCAGCCGCCGCAGUAA